GGCGGUGCUGCGCGGGGCCCCGCCUGAAGCCGGCCUCAGCUGAGGCAGGCGGCGAGACGGAUGCGCCGUUUGCAUUCGCCCGCAGUCAUUUUUAUCCGCGGAGGAUUACAAAGCCCCAAACUGACCUACCCGCUGAGGCGGCUGAGAAAAGGCGGUUCGGCAGGUGCAGCGCUGUCAGGAGGUGAGACGGCAAGCUAGACACACACCUGCUUUGAGACAGCAGCUCACAGUGGAAGAGACAGCGGGAUGUAAACCAGUCUGAAAAUUCACAUAGUAUGGACAAAGUGAACAUGAGCAACUAACUGUGGUGGAGUAAAUAGUUUCCCCGAAAUCUGAUAUUUGAGCUGGAUCCUGGAAGAGACCAACAAGGAUGGACUUCUAGACAGAGGCAGCCACAAUAAAGGGAUGGAGCUUUGUAGGAA